UUCACAGAACCCCGGUCUUUUAUUCCUGAAAUUUUUCUAGUAGCAUAAAAAAUAAGGAAAGAAUAUGCGGACGACAGGUAGAAAAAUUAGUUUAAAUAACAUGUUUUCCAAAGUCUUCCAUGUAAGGUUGGCAUAUCUUUAACCCAACCAGUAAUAGAAAAUGAAUGGAGUUAUGUGUUUUUUUCCAUCUUUAUAAAUUAUAUACUGUAUAUGUAGCAUGGCCUCAAAAUUUCAGUCAUGUUUUGGUUUUUCUGUAUGCACUGACAUUUUAGAAACGCAUACACUGUUUAGUAUUUCUUAGCUUAGCUGACAAAUAUUUCCCCAGACACCGAAGUUACUGUGGCUGCUCCCCAGAAUUAGAAUUCCCCUUACUUGAAUUUUUUUAGGCUCUCAGCUACAGCUAAAUACAAUGUUGCCAACUCUUGCAAUUUCACUGAAAACUUUGUGAUGGUUGUGAUGGCUUUUUCUUAAGCCCUGGAUCCUGGAGUCAGGUGAUUUUAAUGAGAAACUUAGCUUUCAUUGAUAAAUAAAAGUAAGAUUCUAGUUCUUGUGGCUGUGGACAAAAGCUUGAAAAUGUGAUCCAAGUGAACCCUAAGGGCU